UACGUAGGGGGCAAGCGUUGUCCGGAAUCAUUGGGCGUAAAGCGCGUGUAGGCGGCCUGCCAAGUCUGCUGUGAAAGCGCCUGGCUUAACCGGGCGAGGUCGGUGGAAACUGGCGGGCUGGAGGACGGUAGAGGGGGGUGGAAUUCCCGGUGUAGUGGUGAAAUGCGUAGAGAUCGGGAGGAACACCAGUGGCGAAGGCGGCCCCCUGGGCCGUUCCUGACGCUGAGACGCGAAGGCGCGGGGAGCGAACGGG
rnacentral:rRNA from 1 species